rnacentral:rRNA from 1 species
GACGAACGCUGGUGGCGUGCUUAACACAUGCAAGUCGAACGGGAUUUAGUAAACAGAAGCCUCGGUGGAAGAUUACUAAUGAGAGUGGCGAACGGGUGAGUAACGCGUGAGCAACCUGCCUAUGACAGUGGGAUAGCCUCGGGAAACCAGGAUUAAUACCGCAUAAAAUCGUAGAAACACAUGUUUUAACGGUCAAAGAUUUAUCGGUCAUAGAUGGGCUCGCGUCUGAUUAGCUAGUUGGUGAGAUAACAGCCCACCAAGGCGACGAUCAGUAGCCGGUCUGAGAGGAUGAACGGCCACAUUGGAACUGAGACACGGUCCAAACUCCUACGGGAGGCCGCAGUGGGGAAUAUUGCACAAUGGGGGAAACCCUGAUGCAGCGACGCCGCGUGAACGAAGAAGGUAUUCGUAUCGUAAAGUUCUGUCCUAUGGGAAGAUAAUGACAGUACCAUAGAAGAAAGCUCCGGCUAAAUACGUG